AUUCCUACGGGAGGCAGCAGUGGGGAAUAUUGCACAAUGGGCGCAAGCCUGAUGCAGCGACGCCSCGUGAGGGAUGAAGGCCUUCGGGUUGUAAACCUCUUUCAGCAGGGAAGAAGCAGCCGGGUUUUCUUGGUUGUGACGGUACCUGCAGAAGAGGCACCGGCUAACUACGUGCCAGCAGCCGCGGUAAUACGUAGGGUGCAAGCGUUGUCCGGAAUUAUUGGGCGUAAAGAGCUUGUAGGUGGUUUGUCGCGUCUGUUGUGAAAUUUCGGGGCUCAACCCCGAACUUGCAGUGGAUACGGGCAGACUAGAGUGUGGUAGGGGAGACUGGAAUUCCUGGUGUAGCGGUGAAAUGCGCAGAUAUCAGGAGGAACACCGAUGGCGAAGGCAGGUCUCUGGGCCAUUACUGACACUGAGAAGCGAAAGCAUGGGGAGCGAACAGGAUUAGAUACCCUGGUAGUCCAUGCCGUAAACGGUGGGGACUAGGUGUGGGUCUCAUUCCACGAGAUCCGUGCCGCAGCUAACGCAUUAAGUUCCCCGCCUGGGGAGUACGGCCGCAAGGCUAAAACUCAAAGGAAUUGACGGGGGCCCGCACAAGCGGCGGAGCAUGCGGAUUAAUUCGAUGCAACGCGAAGAACCUUACCAAGGCUUGACAUGUGCCGGUAAAGUGCAGAGAUGUGCUCCCCGCAAGGUCGGUACACAGGUGGUGCAUGGUUGUCGUCAGCUCGUGUCGUGAGAUGUUGGGUUAAGUCCCGCAACGAGCGCAACCCUCGUUCUAUGUUGCCAGCGGGUUAUGCCGGGGACUCAUAGGAGACUGCCGGGGUCAACUCGGAGGAAGGUGUGGAUGACGUCAAAUCAUCAUGCCCCUUAUGUCUUGGGCUUCACGCAUGCUACAAUGGCCAGUACAAAGGGCUGCGAUACCGCAAGGUGGAGCGAAUCCCAAAAAACUGGUCUCAGUUCGGAUUGGGGUCUGCAACUCGACCCCAUGAAGUCGGAGUCGCUAGUAAUCGCAGAUCAGCAACGCUGCGGUGAAUACGUUCCCGGGCCUUGUACACAC
rnacentral:rRNA from 1 species